rnacentral:sRNA from 1 species
AAGUGUAAUCCUUUUUCUUUAUGACAAUACCCUGAGUUCAGAAAUCUCAGAGACACAUGUUUACAGAGACCAGGUAAAUAAGUAGCUAGAGUGACAAGACUUAAGAAAAGAGACCAUUGGCGUACCACCAGUUUGUGGAGGGAACUGGACAAACUGGAAUACCCAUGCCCCAUCCAAAAGCAACCAUUGCAACUAAACUUUAACAGAUUGUUGCCACCUAAGUAAUUCACGGAUAGUCUCAUAGUUCUGGUCAGCAUUGUCUGAGCCAAACAAAACGUAUCUAUGGGCAUGAUCAGAUACUAGAGCCAGCAGAUUGCAACCUCUGCUUAGAUAAUUGCAGGUAUCAGCCUUCCCUUGGCUAAACAGCCACUUCAUACUGAUAAGUAGCCCUUUGCCUGGCACAAAGCAGGUGGGGCCGAAUCCAGCCUGAUAUCACAUCACCAGAACUUUCUCUAAUUCUCCUCAAGGCAUCUGUAAACUACCAGCAGCCCAAAUAAGCAUCCUUUUCUCCUUCAGUCAUUUCUCAUAAAGCAGAUUCUACUCAUCUCACCAUCCAUCUUUUUUCCCCUAACAUAUCAGAAUUCAUCAAAGUAGAAACUCUAGAAAUCAUCCAGAAAUACAAAUGUGAUCUGACCAGCACAGGUAUAAACUUUCUCUUUCCUUAAUUUAGAAAAAGGAUUAUUAAUUUUGAGUCUUCGAUCUCAUAAAAGUAGAGCUGGAUUGAUUUUAAGGGAUCAAUGAACCUACUGAAAUUGUAUAAAAAGAUUUUGUGGGGCUGGCAAACAAAUGCUUUUCUUUUAACGUAUUCUUAAAAGAAUAAAACCUCAAAGAAGAUUUAACAACCACUAUAGACUUAAGUUUCAAUUAAUGUAGUCUGUAGCAUUAGCUUUUGGAAGGUUGUUCUAUCAGAAUAUGGACCAAUACUGAGCUUAGUCUCUGCUAAAACUCUGUCUUUUUAUUCGUAUCUUCUGCUAAAAAGCUCCAUAACCCGUGCAGAAUACUGGUAUAAUUACCCACACCUUACCCACCCAGUGAUUGUUGAUGUAACUAUUUAAUCCAAGUCUGAGGCCUAAAUUAUUUUUAAUCAAGAGUUACAUGUUUUAAUUUUUUGUAAUUUUAAUAUCUAACACUUAUUCUAUUUCAUUUUAUUCGAUUGAUGCUGAAAUGUAUAAUGCUAUGAUUCUAAGACUUAGGAAAAAUAAUACUAUACUGGGAUUUGGAGUUUAUAUAUAUUUACAUGAACUUUUUUUUCUUCUCUGUAGGUCGAAAAUUUAAAAAGUUCAAUAAAGUCAGAGUUGUGAGAGCACUGGAUGCUGUUGCUCUCCCACAGCCAGUGGGCAUUCCAAAUGAAAGCCAAGCCCUAAGCCAGAGAUUCACUUUUUCACCAGGUCAAGACAUACAGUUGAUUCCACCACUGAUCAACCUGUUAAUGAGCAUUGAACCAGAUGUGAUCUAUGCAGGACAUGACAACACAAAACCUGACACCUCCAGUUCUUUGCUGACAAGUCUUAAUCAACUAGGCGAGAGGCAACUUCUUUCAGUAGUCAAGUGGUCUAAAUCAUUGCCAGGUUUUCGAAACUUACAUAUUGAUGACCAGAUAACUCUCAUUCAGUAUUCUUGGAUGAGCUUAAUGGUGUUUGGUCUAGGAUGGAGAUCCUACAAACACGUCAGUGGGCAGAUGCUGUAUUUUGCACCUGAUCUAAUACUAAAUGAACAGCGGAUGAAAGAAUCAUCAUUCUAUUCAUUAUGCCUUACCAUGUGGCAGAUCCCACAGGAGUUUGUCAAGCUUCAAGUUAGCCAAGAAGAGUUCCUCUGUAUGAAAGUAUUGUUACUUCUUAAUACAAUUCCUUUGGAAGGGCUACGAAGUCAAACCCAGUUUGAGGAGAUGAGGUCAAGCUACAUUAGAGAGCUCAUCAAGGCAAUUGGUUUGAGGCAAAAAGGAGUUGUGUCGAGCUCACAGCGUUUCUAUCAACUUACGAAACUUCUUGAUAACUUGCAUGAUCUUGUCAAACAACUUCAUCUGUACUGCUUGAAUACAUUUAUCCAGUCCCGGGCACUGAGUGUUGAAUUUCCAGAAAUGAUGUCUGAAGUUAUUGCUGCACAAUUACCCAAGAUAUUGGCAGGGAUGGUGAAACCCCUUCUCUUUCAUAAAAAGUGAAUGUCAUCUUUUUCUUUUAAAUAAUUAAAUUUUGUGGUAUGUCUUUUUGUUUCGG